GCCGGGCGCGGUGGCUCACGCCUGUAAUCCCAGCACUUUGGGAGGCUGAGGUGGGCGGAUCACUUGAGGUCAGGAGUUCUGAGAGCAGCCUGGCCAAUAUGGUGAAACCCCGUCUCCA
rfam:Pan troglodytes isolate Yerkes chimp pedigree #C0471 (Clint) chromosome 1, whole genome shotgun sequence.